UUAUCGUUGGAUUCUUUUCACGCACUCACACACUAGUACUGUCUCUCUUCUCACUCACAUCAGAUUACACCAAUUAACGAACAAAACCCCCCAACUGUACUCUGUUUCUUUCUCGCACCACCAGCAGCAGCCGUCGCCGCCGCCACUGCCGCCGCCGCUUUCAAUCUCUUCGACUUUCUCUUCGUGCUAUCCCCUCCCAAAGACCUUUUUUAAUUGGGCCAUUGCCAAGAAGUCAAAUGCACUUGGCCAAAACAUGGUGAUGGGUCCUUCGGGAUGGACUUCAGCGAAAAGAAAUGACACGAAAAAGGGUCGAAGGUCCAGUGAACAAGCCCAACUUACACCGCACUACAUAUACCCAUAAGUUCCUAGUGUUCGCCGGCGGUUACAGCUCACCAGAAAUCCACCGGAAUUUUUAGUGACAGUCUUCUUCCACCGUUUCUGUGGUCACUUCUGCUGGUUAAUUUCAAAAACACAGAGUUUUGGCAGGGAGACAUGGGAUUCGGAAAUAGAGGGGUUGUUGGUGAUAAAUGGUCUUCAAGGAUUCUUUGGGUCUGUGCAAUCGGAAGUGCAAUCGGCCUCUAUAUGGUAGCCGUAGAAAGGCAAGCACAGAACAGGGAGAAAAUGAUGGCUGAAGCUUUGGGCGGUGCAGGGUCAGGUGCAGACAAGGGUCAAGAAAUCUAAUUGUAGCUUUUCAAAUUCUCCGUGAUUUUAUUGUAAGCUUAAGAGCACUGCAGGAUGUUUCCAUUGGUUAGUUUUAAUAAAUGAUUUACUUGUUCUUUUGGAGUAAUAUAGUGGGUUUAGACUUUAGAUGUUUGGUUGCUUUGGCAUGCUUGAAACAUGCGCAUAACAUAACUGUGACUGGGUCGUAGAGGUUGGUGCUUUAUAGUCAAUUUCAACCAAUUUCUGUAAGCUUUUACAAAACGUGUUAAACAUUUAGUAUACAACAAAAUUAUUCAGUGUUUAGGGACUGCAGAGUGUAUGUGUAUUGGCCUGUCCUUAAUUGUCUUAUGUUAGAAUAGAGCUAACAUUGAAAGAAAUAUUCAAGCUCUUGUUCUGAAA